CCUACGGGUGGCUGCAGUGAGGAAUAUUGGUCAAUGGACGAGAGUCUGAACCAGCCAAGUAGCGUGAAGGAUGACUGCCCUAUGGGUUGUAAACUUCGUUUCUAAAGGAAUAAAACGAGGCACGUGUGCCUUUUUGCAUGUACUUUAUGAAUAAGGAUCGGCUAACUCAGUUCCAGCAGCCGCGGUAAUACGGAGGAUCCGAGAGUUAUCCGGAUUUAUUGGGUUUAAAGGGAGCGUAAAUGGGUUGUUAAUGCCGUUGUGAAAGUUUGCGGCGCAACCGGAAAAUUGCAAUUGAUACUGGCAGCCUUGAGUACAGUUGAGGUAGGCGGAAUUCGUGGUGUAGCGGUGAAAUGCUUAGAUAUCACGAAGAACCCCGAUUGCGAAGGCAGCUUACUAAACUGUGACUGACAUUGAUGCUCGAAAGUGUGGGUAUCAAACAGGAUUAGAGACCCGAGUAGUC
rnacentral:rRNA from 1 species